AUUGAACGCUGGCGGCAGGCCUAACACAUGCAAGUCGAGCGAGCGGCGGACGGGUGAGUAAUUUAUGGGGACUUCCCGAUAGAGGGGGAUAACUCCUGGAAACGGUGGCUACUACCGCCUCCUGUCGGAUAACCCAUAUGGGAUUAGCUAGUAGGUAAGGUAAUGGGUUACCUAGGAGACGAUCCCUAGUUGGUCUGAGAGGAUGAUCAGCCAGACUGGGACUGAGACACGGCCCAGACGCCUACGGAGGCAGCAGGGGGGAAUAUUGCACAAUGGGCGCAAGCCUGAUGCAGCCAUGCCGCGUGUAUGAAGAAGGCCCUAGGGUUGUAAAGUACUUUCAGUCGGGAGGCGUUACCGACAGAAGAAGCACCGGCUAACUCCGUGCCAGCAGCCGCGGUAAUAC
rnacentral:rRNA from 1 species